GAUGAACGCUGGCGGCGUGCCUAAUACAUGCAAGUCGAGCGAACGGACGAGAAGCUUGCUUCUCUGAUGUUAGCGGCGGACGGGUGAGUAACACGUGGAUAACCUACCUAUAAGACUGGGAUAACUUCGGGAAACCGGAGCUAAUACCGGAUAAUAUUUUGAACCGCAUGGUUCAAAAGUGAAAGACGGUUUUGCCGUCACUUAUAGAUGGAUCCGCGCUGCAUUAGCUAGUUGGUAAGGUAACGGCUUACCAAGGCAACGAUGCAUAGCCGACCUGAGAGGAUGAUCGGCCACACUGGAACUGAGACACGGUCCAGGCUCCUACGGGAGGCAGCAGUAGGGAAUCUUCCGCAAAGGGCGAAAGCCUGACGGAGCAACGCCGCGUGAGUGAUGAAGGUCUUCGGAUCGUAAAACUCUGUUAUUAGGGAAGAACAUAUGUGUAAGUAACUGUGCACAUCUUGACGGUACCUAAUCAGAAAGCCACGGCUAACUACGUG
rnacentral:rRNA from 1 species